rnacentral:rRNA from 1 species
AAUGACGCAGCUGAGCAGCCAUGCCGCGUGAAGGAUGACAGCCUUACGGGUUGUAAACUUCUUUUCUGUGGAAAAAUAACCUUGUCGAGACGAGUGAUGCCGGUAUGACACGAAUAAGCAUCGGCUAACUCCGUGCCAGCAGCCGCGGUAAUACGGAGGAUGCAAGCGUUAUCCGGAUUUAUUGGGUUUAAAGGGUGCGCAGGUUGUUUGAUAAGUCAGUGGUGAAAGUCUGUCGCUUAACGGUAGGAUUGCCAUUGAUACUGUUGGACUUGAAUAUGGAUGAGGUAGGCGGAAUGUGUAGUGUAGCGGUGAAAUGCAUAGAUAUUACACAGAACACCGAUUGCGAAGGCAGCUUACUAAUCCAUCAUUGACGCUGAGGCACGAAAGCGUGGGGAUCAAACAGGAUUAGAUACCCUGGUAGUCCACGCCGUAAACGAUGAUCACUCGCUGUUUGCGAUAUACAGUAAGCGGCUAAACGAAAGCGUUAAGUGAUCCACCUGGGGAGUACGAUCGCAAGGUUGAAACUCAAAGGAAUUGACGGGACGG